UACGUAGGGUGCAAGCGUUGUCCGGAAUUAUUGGGCGUAAAGAGCUCGUAGGCGGCUUGUCGCGUCGGCUGUGAAAACCUGGGGCUCAACCCCGGGCCUGCAGCCGAUACGGGCAAGCUAGAAUUCGGUAGGGGAGACUGGAAUUCCUGGUGUAGCGGUGGAAUGCGCAGAUAUCAGGAGGAACACCAAUAGCGAAGGCAGCUCGCUGGGACGUUACUGACACUAAGGCGCGAAAGCGUGGGGAGCGAACAGG
rnacentral:rRNA from 1 species